UACGUAGGCAGCGAGCGUUUGUUCGGAAUUACUGGGCGUAAAGAGUGUGUAGGCGGUGCUCUAAGUUCGGUGUGAAAUCUCCCGGCUUAACUGGGAGGUGCGCCGGAAACUGGAGUGCUCGAGCGUGGGAGAGGGAAAGCGGGAAUUCCUGGUGUAGCGGUGAAAUGGCGUAGAUAUCAGGAGGAACACCUGCGGUGUAGACGGCUUUCUGGACCAUUGCUGACGCUGAGACACGAAAGCGUGGGUAGCAAACAGG
rnacentral:rRNA from 1 species